rnacentral:rRNA from 1 species
AUCGGCUAGACUUUGUAAACUUGAACUCUAAUUGGUGUUGGUUUGAGGUUUUGUUUUUAUCUUGUUUUUUAGGGUGAAAUCAGAAAUUUUUAUUAAUGGUGCCUUAAACUUUAAGAUUUGGUGAAUGAAUCAGAUUAGUACCUGAUUAAACAAAAGUUAAAAGAGCAGGAGUAAAGUUAUGUUUAAACUGAAAGAGUAUUGGCAGGUUUUUAAAUUAUCUUUGGAGGUUGAGUAGUAAUUGAGAGCCCUCAUUAACAACUUUUACUGUAGGCGCAUGUAUGAUCGUUUAUUUUAUUCUUAAGGAUUGCAAUUUUAGAUGGGUCUCUGUUAAAAUAGAUAGAUAUUUGGUGUAUGUAGAAGAUUUAAUUUGACCUACAGUAUAUUAUUUUGUGGAUACCUCUCUAGUAGGGGGUUGAAAGUGUAAAAGACAGUAAGUUUUUUUUUAUGUAAGACUGAAGUUUAUUUAAGAACGGUACAAAACAUC